rnacentral:rRNA from 1 species
GUCCCUAGUUCGGAUUNUAGGCUGAAACUCGCCUACAUGAAGCUGGAAUUGCUAGUAAUCACAGGUCAGCAUACUGUGGUGAAUACGUUCCCGGGCCUUGUACACACCGCCCGUCACACCAUGAGAGUUGAGAAUACCCGAAGCCCAUGUCAAAGUGGUCGAAGGUAGGCUUGAUGAUUGGGGUGAAGUCGUAACAAGGUAAC